CAGUCCAGUUCGAGCCAAGCCAAAGUAGCACUUCCGGUUUCGUUAGUUUCGUGCGUGGUCGCUAGAAAGCUUUGUCAUGCAAUGAGCCUUCUACAAUUACGCUAAUUAUACCCCACAAGCCUAUGCGCGUCACGCAACGGGGAAUCGAAGGCCGUAAGUGUCUUUCGUAGGGGCCAACAUUGACGGUAUCACCGCCGCAUUUUGUUGGUGACUUGCGCUCAAGAGGGCGGGGAUAUGUGCCGGGGCAGGCUAUGCCGAGGAAGAAGAGGCCGCGCACUGAACAAGAAGAGCUCGAACACAAGCGUAGACGCGCAGAGGCGGCGCGACGACGGCGACGGAACAAGAGCGAAGAAGAGCGAGCGGCCGAGCGGGAACACCACGCGACUGCGGCCCGAGAACGUCGGAGAAAUCGAAGCGAAGAAGAGAAGGUGGUCGAGCGAGAGCGCCACGCCGCGGCCGCUCGCGAACGGCGACAGCGACAGAGCGAAGAGGAACGUGCGGCCGAGCGGGCACGGCACGCGGCAGCCGCUCGAGAACGAUGGCAAAAUCAGAGCGAGGAGCAGAGAGUGGCAGAGCGGGAGCGGCAUGCGGCAUCGAAGCGACGGCGCCGAGCGGCGAAGCGAGCGCGUGCUGCGGCUGCCCGGAGGGAGCGACGGAGACAGGCCAAAAGAAAGCAACCUGCCUCCAGCAACCAACAUGGCUCUGCACAGACCAAAAGAAAGCAGCCUUCCUCCAGCAACCAAUAUGGCUACGUGGCUGUUGUAUCGGCUAAGACUGUGCAUUCGCAAAUGGCCACACAGUUCAGUGACAGAGCUGAUGUUGCAGUCGGGCCCUCGGGGAUCAACAGGUCAACCCAGACACCACCUGUUGCUACCUUUGUUACCAGGCUGAACAGCUGGACAGAUACCGAUGAUCUUGUCAGCUUCCAGGACAGUGGCUCUGAGCCAUGUGGAUAAACAGACUGAAAAGGAGUGCGCUACCUCUGGCAGUGGGCACAAUCUUACUCCGCUGCUACCUACUCGUAGGUAACAAACGAAGAAGCAGGGUCUGCAAGCAGUGCAAAGGAAAGGGUUCAUGUGAAAAGUGCAUGGGUACUUUAAUGAGGGAAUUUAAGGUAACCCUGGAACAGUUGAACCUUCAAGAACCUCCUGCUGGAUGCGGUUUAAGGACCUGAUGUCUGCAGUGGUGCUACAUCAUAGAACAGCAGCAUUAACAAGAAAGGUGCAUCAUUAUGUUUCUUCAGGAGCUCCUUUAAUGCUUCACUAAGGAGCUCCUUUGAUGCUUCUCUAAGGAGCUCCUUUAAAACCCAUCUUGAGAAGUGUCAUAUCAACCUAACAAAUAUAAGAUCUCUAAUUUGCUGUGUGCGAGCACCUUAUAGAGCUUUAUUUUUGCACAUAUAGUGGCGAUAUUUUGCAAUUUCGAACUGCAGUUGCACGUCUCGUUCACAAUAGGUUUAGUGCUCUUCGUACAUGGGCAAAGGCUACAGGCUCUGGCUUUCACUUGUGCCUCUUUGUUUUGAUCAGCUGCUGUCCAUGUACUUGAACGAUUUAGCUCUGGCCCACUGUGGUUUUCCAAUUCAAGUGCAAUGGAAUUCUGUAUUGAACUUGUUAAAGCAACACUAACAAGAAAAAUAAUUUUAGCUGUAUUAGUAGAUCACUCUUCCACAAUACCAAGGAAGCCACUCGUACCGUGAAAAGAGGGUUAUUAAGCCAGAAAAGACGCAAGGAAAAAAGAUGGGUUGUGAAGCUACAAUGAAGUUCCCACACUAGUGCGCUGUGAGGUCAUGAAUUUUGACGGUGUCUGCACAGGCCUAGUUAAUUUUUUAUCGGUAAAGAUGGGCUAUAUCGUAUUCUAAAAGAGCCAAAGGCUGAACUUGGCAAGCUUCAAGAACUUUUGCUGAGCCACAGCGGCCGAAAUAUGAAAAAAAACAACAACAUUGAAAUCAGUGACCUCGGACUAAUGUACCGGCUCUGAGGUUCCGACGCGAAAUUCGAAAAAUGGAACUUUGACCUGGUUUUGUUCUUGCAAUAAUCAACCUCUUACCGUUAAGUUAAGGAAUAUAUAGUUCUGCGGGAAUUAUUUACCAGUAUAGACUGACUUUAAGCUUUACUUUAGUGUCCCUUUAAGCAGCCACUCAACUGAUGUGAAUAUAGCUUAUCGCAAUUAUGUGAAGUAAUAUUGAUGUAGCCGAUUUCUGGAAGGCAAAAUUUUAUUUUUCACCCAAGGUACUUCAGAAAAACCUUUAAUAAUGUCAAGAUUAUUAUAAUUUUCUAACUCAACAAACACAGAUACUGCAGCUCCGUUGACUGCUCCUGACUGAGCCUCCAUUCAAAGUUUAUAAUGUUUCUGAUAUCUAUGCUUGAUUUAGAAUGAUGUGUUUGUAAACUCAUUGCUCCAAUUUUAUUGACAAUUUGUAAUUUUGUUACUGAUACUGAAACAGUUUCUUCACAGUAUAGUGUUGUAGAUCUUCUUUUUCAGUAAUAUCUCCAAACCCUGGCAAUCUUGCUGAACCAUUUGUCAUAAACCAGAUACGUUUCCUACAAAUAAAAAAGAAAUUAUGAUAGCACUUUUGCUUG